rnacentral:rRNA from 1 species
GUCUAUGGCCAUGCCACCCUGAACACACUUGAUCCUGUCUGAUCUCGGAAGCUAAGUCAGGGUUGGGCCUGGUUAGUACUUGGAUGGGAGACCACCUAGGAAGACCGGGUGUGGUAGGCG